rnacentral:misc_RNA from 1 species
UGGUUCUGGCAUCGAUGAAGAACGCAGCGAAAUGCGAUAAGUAGUGUGAAUUGCAGAAUUCAGUGAAUCAUCGAAUCUUUGAACGCACAUUGCGCCCCUUGGUAUUCCAUGGGGCAUGCCUGUUCGAGCGUCAUUUGUACUCUCAAGCUUUGCUUGGUGUUGGGUGUUUUGUCCUCUCCUCUGCGUUUGGACUCGCCUUAAAACAAUUGGCAGCCAGUGUAUUGGUAUGGAAACGCAGCACAAUUUGCGGCUCUAGCUAAUUAUCACUGGCAUCCACAAGCCUAUUUUAACACGCUUGACCUCGGAUCAGGUAGGGAUACCCGCUGA